AGAGUUUGAUCCUGGCUCAGGACGAACGCUGGCGGCGUGCCUAACACAUGCAAGUCGAACGGAGUAUACCGCUGAAUUGAAGGUAGCUUGCUACCGGAUUUUCUUGGUUUACUUAGUGGCGGACGGGCGAGUAACGCGUGAGCAACCUGCCCUUCAGAGGGGAACAACAGUUGGAAACGACUGCUAAUACCGCAUAACGUGCCAUGGGGGCAUCCCCGAGGUACCAAAGAUUUAUCGCUGAAGGAUGGGCUCGCGUCCGAUUAGAUAGUUGGUGAGGUAACGGCUCACCAAGUCGACGAUCGGUAGCCGAACUGAGAGGUUGAUCGGCCGCAUUGGGACUGAGACACGGCCCAGACUCCUACGGGAGGCAGCAGUGGGGGAUAUUGCACAAUGGAGGGAACUCUGAUGCAGCAACGCCGCGUGAGGGAAGAAGGUCUUCGGAUUGUAAACCUAAGUUAUCAGGGACGAUUAUGACGGUACCUGAAGAGAAAGCUCCCGGCUAACUACGUGCCAGCAGCCGCGGU
rnacentral:rRNA from 1 species